rnacentral:rRNA from 1 species
UACGAAGGGGGCGAGCGUUGUUCGGAUUUACUGGGCGUAAAGAGCGCGCAGGCGGUCGUUCAAGUCGCGUGUGAAAGCCCCCGGCUCAACUGGGGAGGGUCACGCGAUACUGAUCGACUCGAAGGCAGGAGAGGGUAGUGGAAUUCCCGGUGUAGUGGUGAAAUGCGUAGAUAUCGGGAGGAACACCAGUGGCGAAGGCGACUACCUGGCCUGUUUCUUGACGCUGAGGCGCGAAAGCUAGGGGAGCAAACGGG